rnacentral:rRNA from 1 species
GUGGGGAAUUUUGGACAAUGGGCGCAAGCCUGAUCCAGCAAUGCCGCGUGCAGGAAGAAGGCCUUCGGGUUGUAAACUGCUUUUGUACGGAACGAAACGGUCCUGGCUAAUAUCCGGGGCUAAUGACGGUACCGUAAGAAUAAGCACCGGCUAACUACGUGCCAGCAGCCGCGGUAAUACGUAGGGUGCGAGCGUUAAUCGGAAUUACUGGGCGUAAAGCGUGCGCAGGCGGUGAUGUAAGACAGUUGUGAAAUCCCCGGGCUCAACCUGGGAACUGCAUCUGUGACUGCAUUGCUGGAGUGCGGCAGAGGGGGAUGGAAUUCCGCGUGUAGCAGUGAAAUGCGUAGAUAUGCGGAGGAACACCGAUGGCGAAGGCAAUCCCCUGGGCCUGCACUGACGCUCAUGCACGAAAGCGUGGGGAGCAAACAGGAUUAGAAACCCUGGUAGUCC